CAGCAUUGCACUUCCCACUACCAUGCUGUCUCUAGGUAUUUUAUUGCCUUGACAUUUCUGAAUUGUUUACUUCAAUAUAAAGGUGAAAGUGGUUAUGUUUACUAUUACCUAGCACUGUGCUUAUCAAAAUAGACACUCAAAUAUUUGUUGAAUGAAUAUAGACGAAAUAGGCUGAGUUACCUAGGGCUUCAUCGUCGUCUUCAUCUUAUUGCAGCAGUCUGGAGUAGAGGGAUUGCUAUCUCAUGAAUUACGGAUUAAGGCUAAGACUCUAAGAAAUGAUCUUUGGGGGCAUUUUUGUGUUUGCAGGUAAAGUUUAUGAAGACCAUUCCUGGCACAGCACUCGUAGAAAUGGGUGACGAGUAUGCUGUGGAAAGAGCUGUCACACACCUUAACAAUGUCAAACUGUUUGGGAAAAGACUUAAUGUUUGUGUGUCUAAACAACAUUCAGUUGUUCCAAGUCAAAUAUUUGAGCUAGAGGAUGGCACAAGCAGCUACAAAGAUUUUGCAAUGAGCAAAAAUAAUCGCUUUACAAGUGCUGGCCAAGCUUCUAAGAAUAUAAUCCAGCCACCCUCAUGUGUGCUGCAUUAUUACAAUGUUCCACUGUGUGUCACAGAGGAGACCUUCACAAAGUUGUGUAAUGACCAUGAAGUUCUUCCAUUCAUCAAAUAUAAAGUGUUUGAUGCAAAAGCUUCUGCGAAAACUCUGUCUGGGCUCUUAGAGU
rnacentral:lncRNA from 1 species